ensembl:miRNA predicted gene, 44351
UCCAGUUGCUCUGGGGUGAAGCUGUACAUUUGCAUUUCUAACAAGCUCCCUGGUGAUGCUGAUGCUACAGUUCCCAGGGUCACACACUGAGUAAC